AUAGGGUAAUAAAGAUAUUUCACAUUUAAAGUUUAAGUUAUAUGUAAAAAUAGGUUAAAUGAGUUCAAAUAAAAUUUCUCAUUUUUAAAUUGAGAGAAAAUUUCUUUGUGAUAGUUUGGACUGGAAUUAGAUUUCCCUUUUAAUAAAAAAAGGAAAUAUAAUUCCCCAAUUUCGAUCUUUGCGAAAAUUAAACCUUGCUUGUAUCAAUCAUAGGUCUUACAUGCUAAGUUUUUAAAUCUAGAUAUACGAUGGUGUGAAAUAGUUAAAUUUAUAUUUUCGCAUUUGGGUUCGCAUUAACCAAAAGAAGAGACUUCCAUGGGAGAAACGACGGAGAUAAACUCAGAUAAGCAGCACAACAUGACUAACUGAACUAACUAAAACAACUGACGGGAAGAAAGAAGAAGAGCACCUACUGCAUAGUGUACAUUACAAUACAAGAUUACAUGACACCAAUCCGACAUAGGAAAACAACAUUAUUUUUUUUUUACCCUUAACAUCCUUAAAAAGUGCUUCUCUCCUUCCUCCCUCCCCUCAAUUAUAACCUAAAAGAAAAUGACUUAAAAUGUGUAAAAGCAACUUCCAUCAUCACUUCUAGCCGUUGGAUCAAAGUUUUCUCAGUUGGAUCAGUGCAACCUUCAGGAACUGGAACAUUCACUUGCUGCGCUGCUUGGCCUACACAAAGACAAUUACAAAACCGUUAAUACAUAUAUUUUUUCAUGAGCCCUAAUACAUUUUGUAAAUUUACCAAAUCAAGCUAAUGGAUCCAAACCUCCCACAGGAGCUCUCUAAAUAUCAAGGAUCUAACCAUAGAAAGUUCCUGUAUUCAUAGCAUCUGAGUUAGCAUCACCAAGAGCAGCCUCGCUCAAGUACUUAUCAGCCAAUUGAACUCUCUUCACAUUCUCUUGCUCUUGGACAAGCAUGUUUCCGUACUCGAGGAGCUUUUCGAUAGUCAUCUUCGGCUGCUCGAAAGUUGGGGGUCCUUCCUUUGAGUUCACAAG
rnacentral:lncRNA from 1 species